GCACGGGCUGCUCCCUGGCUACCCCGGGGGAGGAGUGGGAGGAGUGGCGAGGGCUAUCAGCUCUGGCGGGCGAACCUUUCCCAGGAGGCGCUGCUUGCUCCAGCGAGGUAAAGCCGGAGGAGGCGGGAGAGCGGGGCUGGUGACGCGCGCCGGCCGCGGAGAAUGAGGCUGGCCCUCUGCGCCCUGCCGUGCGCUGGAGCCCUGGCAACAUUUUGGAAAAGAGAAGUCAUCUGAAUUUCAAUUUUGGCUCUCCUCACGGGACAGAUCUGCUGUUUACUGAUGCUGCCCAUGGGUUUUUAAAGGCCCCACCUAAGACGAAUGCCAAGCUGUACCUGGGAUAUGUGUAUUUUUCUGCAACUCAGCAUCUAAAAAGAGGUUUCCCCCAGGAAGCCAUGGGCAUGCCCAUCCUUUAUGCUGGGCUUCUGGAAGACUCUCCUCUGGAGCUCUACCUGCUACAAAUCUUCAGACUCUGUUAUCCAAAGCCCAGAGACUGCUGGCUAUUAUGGGCUUGUGGUCCUACCACCCAUUUUUUAUACCAGGAGAGUCAGCCUUGCAAUCCUAAGACCUGAAGCAGGAGCCUGAAGACCCAGGGGUCUAACAGGGGUCUUUCAAUGGCACUGGGAGAGAGAUGUCAAGAACCUCACUUCUGCUUUGUUCCAAUUCUAAGAACUUGAAAAGAAAGCCAGAGCAGAUAAUUAAUGUUUAACAUUUUAAUAUAUUUGAGAUACUAAUGGAUCCCUUCGAGGAUUCAUAAAAGGCAGGAACUCUUAUUUUAGUAACACGCAUACAAGUGUGCACCCACACACACCUUUAUAUACAAUUUUUGUGCAUUCAUAGCUUCAGUUUAGUGAUUCUUCUGUGACCUCACACUGCCUUCCAUAGGUUGCAGAAGUGUAGGGAUGUAGGUUUGUUGAUCCGAUUUUAAGUAGAUGAUAUCCUAGGUGGUUGGUAAGUCUUACUAAAUUAUACACGUAGACACGCUACAUACAUGUAUUUAAAAGUCUUAUCUUUGGGGAAUAUUUAAAACAACUAAAAUGGUAAAAUCAUUCCAUUGUAGAAACCAACAGUUGCCAGCAAUUAUUUGCAAAUCUGUGCAGGUCCGAGAUUUACUCUGGACAGCCGAGAAACCUGGUGAACUUUGAUCUUCUUUUGCCAUGGAGACUGAGGACAUUAAACAAGGGAGUUUACUCUGGGGGCAGUAGAAAGAUCCGUGAUCAGUUUACUUUGGCUCCAGGAGCACUGGACUCUGCUCAGCUGAACCAGCCACCUCUCACGGGCCCAUCUAAAGGUCUUGAGACAUGACCUGUCUUGGUGAAAGAGCAAUGGGAAGUACAAUCCCUAAAUAAUGUUGGAAGAAAUUGUGAAUAACACUUUUCAAGAAAGUAUGCCACAGGACAGUGGGGACAGCUCAGGCGAUUGAGUCCACAGUCCUAGCUUCUAGCUUUCCAUCUUGCUGGACAGCCUACCAGUUAUAGUCUGUCUUCCAGCUAAGCUCAGUUUUUGUCUCUGUAAAAUCAGAUCUCUCUACUAAACGGUCUUUCAGGGUGUGUUUUGCCAAAGGGCCCAGUAGCAAUGGAGGGAGACAUAAAGCAAUCAGAGCCAUUGCAUUAGUUCACUGAGUGUCUAUUUGGUAUGUAGCCCAUGUUGGGUGUUCUGUAAUAAUGAUAGUUGUCAUCACCAUCUAUUGAUGUCAUUACCAUCUAUUGGUCAGACAGGGCAAGUACUCUAACAGAAAUGUGAGUAAUCUUCAGAAUGAUAAGGUAGACAUUUGCACUCCUAUUACUAAUGAGAAACAGAAGCUCAUUUGUACUCCUAUUACUAACGAGAAACAGAAGCUCAGAGUAGAUCAGUAACUUGUCCAGUAUGAUGCAGCUAUUAAGUGGUCUAACAUCCAAACCCAGAAGUCUUUGACUCCAAUGCCAAGCCCAUUUUAUUGUUCCACAGAUUGCACAUGACAAUAUGUAGUGAAUGAAUACACAGGUGAUUAUUAAUAGAAGGCGGGCACAAGGAACUGGCAUACAAAGAAAAAGUGCUGCUCUGUUCUCUGUGAUAGAUUGCCUAGGGCUUAGUGGUCAGCAUCCUUGCAGGGUCCUUGAUGUAGUGAGACCUGAGGGGCUGAACGCAGGAGCUGUUGGUCAGCAUAUAAAUAAAAAUUAGAUGAAAAAUGCUAAGGUGCUGGAUACUGUACUAGGUGAUUUGCAGUAAUUACUAAUUUAGAUCUCACAGUAACUCUAUGAGGCAGGUGUGUUUUGCCAAAGGGGAACUGGGGCACUGAAAGCUUA